rnacentral:lncRNA from 1 species
AGAAACAAUAGAUUUUGAUCUUCAAAGCGUUCAACAUAUCGAUUAUUACAACACCUUGGAAAAAACGCGUGAUAUUUCAAAAUAAUCAUGUCUUUCGGAUUGUACUUCGUCUUGUAAAAAAGAAUAUAUAGUUGGAGUGGCGUCAGAAUAUCAGGGGUGCGAGACGAAUGAAGGAUGAACGGACACAAGAUUUUAAUUUUCAAACACUAUAAAUUUUGGUUGAAAGUUGUUGAUACAUCUUUAAAGAUGGCAACGAUUUUUAACAAAAUUGC